GUGCAGGCCAUUAAGCCUCCUGGGCCCCUGCUGGUGGGCACCCAGUGUGCAGUAGCUGCACACAGCAACCCCUUGGUAAUGCUCAUAGCCUGUUGCUUGUAUGGGCUGCGUUAAGGGACCUGGGAGACACUC
ensembl:snoRNA SNORA70 Small nucleolar RNA SNORA70